UGCUUGUUGUCCCUUUCCCUGCCCAAUAUAAAUGAAUCUCCAAAGUGUGACUGGUUGCAUCUGCCACAAAUGUUUUUACAACUGCCUUUCCAGGCCCUCCAGCAGCAUCCUCAAUAUUGAAAUCCUUCAGUUCUAGUUUUCCCUACAUACAACAAAUUCCAUCAUCAUCAUUACCGUCACCAUCUUAACCUUUACCCCAGAACUUUGGGGUUGGCUUUCAACUGAGGUAUUAUAUUGAUUGGCUGCCCAAACAGACAUCAACCAGCCAUGGCAGAGGGUCACAUGACACCAUUUGCAUGCCAGCACGGUCCCACACUCCCACCCAAUAUUGACCUCCAGCCCAACUGUUACAUGCACACUGUAGAAAGCACCAAACAAAAUAGGGUCAUGGUGUUCAUAACAAAAUGUCUUUUGUUGGAUGGGGUUUGAUAUUGGAUUUAUGGGAGAGUGCCAAACUCUAUGUCAACACAUGAAGUGAUAGCUGCUGGCAAACCACUACGCACAAAGCACCCACAUGCAUGAAGGUUCAUGCUCAAUUAGUUGUCUGCACAACAUAUCAGGGAAACCACCAAUGCAUGUUUACCAAACACUGCUCACAUGACAAAUAAUUGAUGCACAACACUGCACCUUAGAAUAACUAUUGGCCAUUAGCUGAAAAGGGAAAUUUUCAAUCAAUCAAGGUCUAUGGCAUGCAAUGCCAAACAAGUUUACUAGGCAGACAACCCCCAAUUUCUGAUCUUGAUUGAGAAUUGUAUCAUUACGAUUAUUGUGCCAUCCUUAAACGGGUUUAAAUCUGCUGCUGCUGCUGCUGUUGUUUUCUUAAGGUCCGGAUUGUCACAAGUGUGGAGGCUAAUUCAUGAACCUAGAUUGGAAGAUUCCAACAACCUUGGUGGUCCAUGCACCAACAAAAUUUAAACAAUAAAAAUAAAAAUCUUUUCAGUUGAAAAUUCCCAUCCUUCAGGAAAAGGUUGGAUUUGAAGAAUAAUCAUGUGUAUUUGGGUCAUGUGUAUUAUAGGUCCUAUCUCUCCAUAUGUCACAUUAGUUAUAUAUGAAAAGAUAAUCAAUUAUUCACUCAAGAUCAUCAACUAUCUACCCUGUUUCAAUCUAGAUAAGGAAAAGCAGUAUUUGGUCUAGCUGGAUGGAUCUGACUAAUAAAUUGGACCUUACUAAUAAAUUGGAAUUUUUUAUUUAGUAAAUGUUUUGUUGAUGUACAUGCAUUGUAGUUCCAUUAAAUUCUCAACCUUGAUCAUUCUGAUGAUUAUAAUGCAAGAAAUGGUUUGUUUAUGUUUAAAGUGGCUAGGAGAUGUAUUGGCAUGAAUUUUCUUGGGCUGGAAAUAAAUAAGAAGCUUGUGAAACGAUGUCUAGAUUUUGUUCAACAAGGCUUGAAGAAUGUGGUGCUAUUAAUGUGGCUUUUGUGGAGGCCAUCAGGCCCCAUGUUCUAGCACUCCGGAGCAGCCCUUAUGGGAGGAAAGUCCUUUCAAGCAACAGCCUGAAGAAGUAAUUUAGGCUGUUUCAGGAAGUUCUGCAAGUGGGUAAUCACUUUUCCAUUUUUUUUUUCCCAAAUGAUCGUUUAGGUGUUCAUCAUUUUCUUGGCAAGUGCAGAUAAAAGAUCCAUAACAUAUUGAAUUUUUACAGCCAUCUGAAAAGUUCGAUCUGAAUUUUUACAGCCCCUCUUAUUUCUAUGAUAGUUUCCAAUAACACAAGGCGAAUGAUUUGUUUUACAUGGCUUCAAGGGAAUCCUGUAUGUACUGAUGCAAAUGAAGUCAACGUAAUCAAGUUCUGUGGGUCUCAGAAUGGAAAUGGAGUGACACCUGGAGGCUCAACAAACGCCACACCCAUUUGUCCCACUCUAGCAUGCCGUUUAGAUUUCAAUUUUGAAUGUUUCAGAAUCGUGUCUUCUUCUUCUUCUUCUUCUUCUUUUUUUUAAUGAAAUAAAAGUCUCUCAUGGUGCUUGUGAAGAACCUACAGGUAAUCUGUCGAAUUUUCAGAAACCUUUCGGGCAUGGUCCAAGCCUUGGAUGCUGAACUUCUAGAAGAAAGGCAUUGUGCGACAUUUGAAUGACAUGGGUGAUUCAGAAACUCUCAGCCAUGAGCCAUAGGAGUCCUCUUUGCUGGUAGAAAAUGAUGAAAAGAACUCGGUUGGUAAUUUCAAGAGCCCCAUGGAUGCUAACAAAAAGCGUAAAAGACGAAGUAUUGCCAAAUUGGCAAAGUAAACUUCUUUCGUUUCUUGUCUUUAUAAUAAAUUUGCAGUGGUUCUGUUUUAUUUUUGGAAUUAAGUGUUGGCUGUUACAUACAAUAGUUGUCAGUGUUGGAGAUCCUUGGGUAACAACAUUUAAUCAAUCACAUCUUUAUGUGUUGGUUGGAGAUGUCUUUCUUUUCCACCUUUUAUUCUUGGACAAAAUUUCGUUACUAGUUAAAUAUUAAUGCUCCCAAUUCUUGGACCUUGUUACCACUUCAAUCAUGUUGGAGUCAAAACCGGUUUGCUUCUACCUCCUGAACUGACCAUUGUUGUUGGCAUUGAGAGUUCUAUUUGGAACACUAUAUC